GUGUCUGGCACGGCGGCGUGUGUUUGUGUGUACGUAUCACUCACUAAUUUCCUUUUAUUAGCGAUACGCGAAGUUUCCUGGAUUAUUCUGGCAGUCUAAGAAGGAGAUUGUUCGGUUUGGUGGCCGCGUCUGUGAUUCGUGGAAGGAGAGGAGAAGGGGGAGCAUUGGAAGAGCUGAUACCACGUGACCUGCUGGCGUGUGACGAAGGUCAGCGGCGGACAGUCAACACGACAACACGCGGGGGCCUGCUGCUGCUGCCCCACCUGGGAAGCUGCAAGGACGCAAAACAAUGCACAAAAAAAAAAAGAGGGGGAGGAAAUAUAUACGCGAAUUCUUUACUUAUCUUCGUUAAUUUUGCUUUCUCUUUUUCUUUGUUUAUAAUAGUAAGCAAAACAAUCCAUAAAAAUAAAGAUAUGCAUAGACAAGUACAAAACAAUGCACAAAAAAGGUGGGAUAUAUAUAUAUACGCAGAAUCUUUACUUGAAUUUAUUAUUUUCUCCCUCUUUCUUUUUCUUUUGUUUUUAAUAAUAAGCAAAACGAU